CGGGUGGUAAUGCCGGAUGUUCCACAUGAUCGCAUGUGAUUGUGGGAAAGAUUCUAUCGGCGUGGGAUGGGGUCGCGUCCUAUCAGCUUGUUGGUGAGGUAACGGCUCACCAAGGCUUCGACGGGUAGCCGGCCUGAGAGGGCGACCGGCCACAUUGGGACUGAGAUACGGCCCAGACUCCUACGGGAGGCAGCAGUGGGGAAUAUUGCACAAUGGGCGCAAGCCUGAUGCAGCGACGCCGCGUGAGGGAUGGAGGCCUUCGGGUUGUAAACCUCUUUUGUUUGGGAGCAAGCCUUCGGGUGAGUGUACCUUUCGAAUAAGCGCCGGCUAACUACGUGCCAGCAGCCGCGGUAAUACGUAGGGCGCAAGCGUUAUCCGGAUUUAUUGGGCGUAAAGGGCUCGUAGGCGGCUCGUCGCGUCCGGUGUGAAAGUCCAUCGCUUAACGGUGGAUCUGCGCCGGGUACGGGCGGGCUGGAGUGCGGUAGGGGAGACUGGAAUUCCCGGUGUAACGGUGGAAUGUGUAGAUAUCGAAAAAA
rnacentral:rRNA from 1 species